AGCGGUUCUCGGGUGACGCACCCCAGAAUUAGGCUCCCUCCUCUCUUGUUCCAGGUGCAUCACCCAAGAACCACC
rfam:Myotis davidii contig141262, whole genome shotgun sequence.